UACGAAGGGGGCUAGCGUUGCUCGGAAUCACUGGGCGUAAAGCGCACGUAGGCGGGUCCUUAAGUCAGGGGUGAAAUCCCGGAGCUCAACUCCGGAACUGCCUUUGAUACUGGGGAUCUUGAGUCCGGAAGAGGUGAGUGGAACUCCGAGUGUAGAGGUGAAAUUCGUAGAUAUUCGGAAGAACACCAGUGGCGAAGGCGGCAUCCUGGACCGACACUGACGCUGAGGAGCGAAAGCCAGGGGAGCAAACGGG
rnacentral:rRNA from 1 species